rnacentral:rRNA from 1 species
GUCCACGCCGUAAACAAUGGAUACUAGGCGUUCGGAAUGUUAAUUUUCUGAGUGCUGAAGCUAACGCAUUAAGUAUCCCGCCUGGGGAGUACGGUCGCAAGGCUAAAACUCAAAGGAAUUGACGGGGGCCCGCACAAGCGGUGGAGUAUGUGGUUUAAUUCGAAGCAACGCGCAGAACCUUACCUACCCUUAACAUCCCGAGACAGCUGCAGAGAUGUAGUGUUCUCUUCGGAGACUCGGUGAUAGGUGCUGCAUGGCUGUCGU